rnacentral:rRNA from 1 species
GACGAACGCUGGCGGCGUGCUUAACACAUGCAAGUCGAGCGGUAAGGCCCUUCGGGGUACACGAGCGGCGAACGGGUGAGUAACACGUGGGUGACCUGCCCUUAGCUCUGGGAUAAGCCUGGGAAACUGGGUCUAAUACCGGAUAUGACCUCAUGACGCAUGUUGUGGGGUGGAAAGCCUUGUGCGGCUAGGGAUGGGCCCGCGGCCUAUCAGCUUGUUGGUGGGGUGAUGGCCUACCAAGGCGACGACGGGUAGCCGGCCUGAGAGGGCGACCGGCCACACUGGGACUGAGACACGGCCCAGACUCCUACGGGAGGCAGCAGUGGGGAAUCUUGCGCAAUGGGCGAAAGCCUGACGCAGCGACGCCGCGUGAGGGAUGACGGCCUGGUGUAAC